rnacentral:rRNA from 1 species
GAUGAACGCUGGCGGCGUGCCUAAUACAUGCAAGUCGAGCGAACAGACGAGGAGCUUGCUCCUCUGACGUUAGCGGCGGACGGGUGAGUAACACGUGGAUAACCUACCUAUAAGACUGGGAUAACUUCGGGAAACCGGAGCUAAUACCGGAUAACAUGUUGAACCGCAUGGUUCAACAGUGAAAGACGGUCUUGCUGUCACUUAUAGAUGGAUCCGCGCCGCAUUAGCUAGUUGGUAAGGUAACGGCUUACCAAGGCAACGAUGCGUAGCCGACCUGAGAGGGUGAUCGGCCACACUGGAACUGAGACACGGUCCAGACUCCUACGGGAGGCAGCAGUAGGGAAUCUUCCGCAAUGGGCGAAAUCCUGACGGAGCAACGCCGCGUGAGUGAAGAAGGUCUUCGGAUCGUAAAACUCUGUUAUUAGGGAAGAACAAAUGUGUAGGUAACUAUGCACGUCUUGACGGUACCUAAUCAGAAAGCCACGGCUAACUACGUG